UAUCCAAUGCUUAAAAUUAAAUUAGCUGCAAUGGAAGCCAAAUGUUAUAAAUUCUGAAAUUGUUGAAUGACUUUGACAUGUCUCUGCCUCACUAUUAAUUUGUGUUUUUAUUUUCUCUACAGGUUAAAACUUGUGAGACCAGAGCAUAUAUCAUAGAGGGCAAAGUGCUGUUGAUGCCAAAGCGAUUUCUACCUUUACAAUAAGAUGGCAGAAUCCCAGAAACUUUUACUGAGAGUUUACAUUGCUCCUGACAUCGCCCACAAGAUGACCCUUUCUACACGCCCAAGUACAGUAGAAGAGUUGAUUACAGUGAUUAAAGAGAAAUUCAGACCUCGUCUUGAUUUUGAUUUCAACCUCCAAUAUGAAGACCCAGACUUUGGGGGGCAACUCUGCUUUCUAACAGACAUUUCAGAACUGCCAGAGAAGGCUGUAUUGAAAGUACACAGAUCUGAGACUGAUGCUGGGUCAGCUGCAACUUCACACACAGAAAUACUCCCUUAUGCCCCAGGACGCUUGCAGAGUUGGCCUGAUGUCUUCCCAGUUCCUCAAUUUUCUUAUGAUGUCGAGCACAGCCUCAAUGGUGGAAAUAUGGCCUAUCAAAACAGUGGAAAGUUCUUAAAAUUAACUAA